GCGGAUGUGAUGAAAUUGGCAGACAUGUUGGAUUUAGGUUCCAAUGCGAAAGCGUGCAGGUUCAAGUCCUGUCAUCCGCACCA
rnacentral:tRNA from 1 species